rnacentral:rRNA from 1 species
CAGUCGCCGCGGUAAUACGUAGGGUGCAAGCGUUAAUCGGAAUUACUGGGCGUAAAGCGUGCGCAGGCGGUGUUGUAAGACUGAUGUGAAAUCCCCGGGCUCAACCUGGGAACUGCAUUGGUGACUGCAGCGCUGGAGUGCGGCAGAGGGGGAUGGAAUUCCGCGUGUAGCAGUGAAAUGCGUAGAUAUGCGGAGGAACACCGAUGGCGAAGGCAAUCCCCUGGGCCUGCACUGACGCUCAUGCACGAAAGCGUGGGGAGCAAACAGGAUUAGAUACCCCGGUAGUCCCUGUCUCUUAUAA